rnacentral:RNase_P_RNA from 1 species
GGGAGCGGCAGGGCGGCUUCGGAAGAAAUUCUGAGGAAAGUCUCCACACCGUCUUUCAGGCUUGCGGAUAUCUGUGAAGGAUUUCCGGUGAGAGCCGGGGCUAUGGCACAGAAACGAUACCCGGCUGUGUCUGCGAUGAUAUGGAAAAUUGAGGUCGCACAGCGCAGGGAUGCAACGGCAAAACCCCGCAGGUGCAAGUUGUCCGGAGAACGGUUUUCGGCCUUGAAAGGACCGCCGGAAGAAAUACGCUUAGCUGAAUGCCGCCGCAUGUGCACGGAUCCGGGAACGGAUCCUCUGUCAGAAUGAGGCGGUCCUGUACAAUCCGUACAGGGUGCAUAACAGAAAGGAGCUUACUCGCCGGACCC